CCCUUAGAUGUCCUGGGCUGCACGCGCGCUACACUGAUGUGUCCAGUAAGCACCUAACCUCUUCCGAAAGGAACGGGUAACCUUUGCAAAGCACAUCGUGAUGGGGAUAGAUUAUUGCAAUUAUUAGUCUUGAACGAGGAAUUCUUAGUAAGCACAAGUCAUCAGCUUGUGUUGAUUACGUCCCUGCCCUUUGUACACACCGCCCGUCGCUCCUACCGAUUGAAUGUUCCGGUGAGCUCUUCGGACUGCGCGGUCUGCAGUUUCUGCGUUCCGUGCGGAAAGUUGCGCAAACCUUAACAUUUAGAGGAAGGAGAAGUCGUAACA
rnacentral:rRNA from 1 species